UACGGAGGAUCCAAGCGUUAUCCGGAUUUAUUGGGUUUAAAGGGUGCGUAGGCGGCCUUGUAAGUCAGGGGUGAAAGACGGUAGCUCAACUAUCGCAGUGCCCUUGAUACUGCAGGGCUUGAAUACACUAGAGGUAGGCGGAAUGUGACAAGUAGCGGUGAAAUGCAUAGAUAUGUCACAGAACACCGAUUGCGAAGGCAGCUUACUAUGGUGCAAUUGACGCUGAGGCACGAAAGCGUGGGGAUCAAACAGG
rnacentral:rRNA from 1 species